GAUGAACGCUGGCGGCGUGCCUAAUACAUGCAAGUCGAGCGAACAGACGAGGAGCUUGCUCCUCUGACGUUAGCGACGGACGGGUGAGUAACACGUGGAUAACCUACCUAUAAGACUGGGAUAACUUCGGGAAACCGGAGCUAAUACCGGAUAAUAUAUUGAACCGCAUGGUUCAAUAGUGAAAGACGGUUUUGCUGUCACUUAUAGAUGGAUCCGCGCCGCAUUAGCUAGUUGGUAAGGUAACGGCUUACCAAGGCAACGAUGCGUAGCCGACCUGAGAGGGUGAUCGGCCACACUGGAACGGAGACACGGUCCAAACUCCAACGGGAGGCAGCAGUAGGGAAUCUUCCGCAAUGGGCGAAAGCCUGACGGAGCAACGCGGCGGGAGUGAUGAAGGUCUUCGGAUCGUAAAACUUUGUUAUUAGGGAAGAACAAAUGUGUAAGUAACUAUGCACGUCUUGACGGUACCUAAGCAGAAAGCCACGGCUAACUACGU
rnacentral:rRNA from 1 species